rnacentral:rRNA from 1 species
GACGAACGCUGGCGGCGUGCUUAACACAUGCAAGUCGAACGGAAAGGCCCUGCUUUUGUAGGGUGCUCGAGUGGCGAACGGGUGAGUAACACGUGAGUAACCUGCCUUGACUUUGGGGUAACUUUAGGAAACUGGGGCUAAUACCGGAUAGGAGCUCCUGCUGCAUGGGGGGGGGUGGAAAGUUUCGGCGGUUGGGGAUGGACUCGCGGCUUAUCAGCUUGUUGGUGGGGUAGUGGCUUACCAAGGCUUUGACGGGUAGCCGGCCUGAGAGGGUGACCGGCCACAUUGGGACUGAGAUACGGCCCAGACUCCUACGGGAGGCAGCAGUGGGGAAUAUUGCACAAUGGGCGGAAGCCUGAUGCAGCAACGCCGCGUGCGGGAUGACGGCCUUCGGGUUGUAAACCGCUUUCGCCUGUGACGAAGCGUGAGUGACGGUAAUGGGUAAAGAAGCACCGGCUAACUACGUG